rnacentral:sRNA from 1 species
UCUCUUCUUCUUCUUGUUCUUCUUCUUUCUUUU